UUCCUUUCUCUGCCUACUGCUAUAAUCCGUGUAAUAUUAUUAUUAGUGUGCAUGAAAACAUAGCCUAAUUUUAUUGUGUCCAAAAUCUUUAUUACUUAUAACUCCGCAUUGUUUGGAAAGGUGCUCGUAAGUAAGCAUUUCAUGGUGAAGUCUACACUUGUUGUAUUCAGCGCAUGUGACAAAUAAGAUUUGAUUUGUUAAUUAAAAAAGGCAAGCCGAAUUGAAGUUGGUGGUUUCUUUUUCUCGUACAAACACGUUUGAACAGCUUGAUGAGGAUGUGACUUAUUUUUGGCAUUUGAGCGAUUUCUCUUGUCAUUUUAUGCGAAGGUGUGGUAUGUGUGUGGGCUCUGUACAAGUUUACACUGAGGAAGACACGUUUGGGAGGAGCGAAAAAUCUGUUAUCAGGGAAGGAUCGAUGCACGCCAACAAAGCAAUCUGUGGCUCAACAUACUCCAUCUGCUAAACAAGGUGGCCUCCUCGGGGAGGGCGCGCGGCAACACCCCCGGAUCACUGAAGCUGGUCCUUAGCAGCAUGGCCAUGACAAAGAGGAAGAGGACCACAGCGAAGACCGGGAUGGCAGGGGACAGGUGGGUUGCCAGGUAUGGGCA